GCCUUCAUAGCUUAGUGGAUUAUUGUAGCGUUACGUUUGUACUGUAAGUCCAGUGUUCGAUUCCCGGCGGUGGUC